rnacentral:lncRNA from 1 species
ACAAAGACACGAAUCUGAUGUACACCAUAACUUAAAAGUGCUUCAAUGACAAACCCAUCUAUCUUCAUCACCAUCCUCAUAAUUACUAAUACUAAAGAGUAUAAUUACAUGCCAUGUAACGUUACUCUAAUAGAGAAACAGUAUGUAUACCUUCUCUGCAAACAGUACGUAAAACUUCAUAAAGAUGACAUGAGUUGUUUUCUUUCUCAGCAUCGAAUGUCCUGCUCUUGGUUUCCUUGAGCAGAGAAGCCUUCCACCAUCGUCAGCCCUCUGACUCUACAUUCAAGAUUAUUGGCAAGGAAUAUGUCACCAACUGAUCUGAAUUAUUAGCAAUCUCUUUUACUUCACGAAUAAGGAUCAAAGAGUCAUAAAUAAUACUAAUCAUGAAAAAUUGCAGAAUUUCAUACAUUUCAUUGUGUUUUUUUGUCUUUAGGUGCUCAAGUUUGCCGUAAAUCGAAGAGGAAUUUGAAAUGUUGAGGCCUGAUAUUUUACCACUCUAAGAUGUACAACAAAAAGUGUUUAUAAUGUUGUAAAGUUCGAAAUCAUGAAAUAGCAAAGUAUAUUUCAAUAUACCUGUAAUUGUACUUUGAAACAUGGGAAGUCCUAAUCAAACAAGAGAUGGAGAAAAAUAGUAAUCUAUUAUAUUCUUGAAAUUCCUUCCAUACAAUUUUGACAUCUUGAUGGAAAAGUAGAAAAAAAGAAUUCCAAGAAAAAAAUAAAAUUGAAAUAUUAGUAAAAC